rnacentral:rRNA from 1 species
GACAAACGCUGGCGGCGUGCUUAACACAUGCAAGUCGAGCGAUGAAAUCCCUUCGGGGAUGGAUUAGCGGCGGGCGGGUGAGUAACACGUGGGCAACCUGCCUUAUAGAGAGGAAUAGCCAUCCGAAAGGAUGAUUAAUACCUCAUAAUAUUGUAGCUUCGCAUGGAGCAACAAUCAAAGGAGCAAUCCACUAUAAGAUGGGCCCGCGGCGCAUUAGCUAGUUGGUGAGGUAACGGCUCACCAAGGCGACGAUGCGUAGCCGACCUGAGAGGGUGAUCGGCCACAUUAGGACUGAGACACGGCCCAGACUCCUACGGGAGGCAGCAGUGGGGAAUAUUGCACAAUGGGGGAAACCCUGAUGCAGCAACGCCGCGUGAGUGAUGACGGCCUUCGGGUUGUAAGGCUCUGUCUUCAGGGACGAUAAUGACGGUACCUGAGGAGGAAGCCACGGCUAACUACGUGCCAGCAGCCGCAGUAAAAC